CCUUGACACAAUGGUUAAUAUGGAGAUGUGCGACCAUUGUCGCAAGAUUGUUCAAACCACAAUUCAUACAAAUGAUGGCAUGUAUUUCAGUUGUUGCACUUCUUGUGGGAAGCUUCUAAGUGACUCAACAACUCCUCCAAGUUUGAGGACAAAUAGAAGUAAUGAUAGAAUAAUGAAGAUAAAGACCACUCUUGUGAAGAAAUCAGAAACAAAAUAAUAAUAUGAUAUAACUUCUAAUAGUGUUGAUGUUGUGAAGAACUACGGAAGACACUUUUUGAUAACUAUUGGAGAAUCACAUUAUUUGGAAUAAUAGUGGUUGUUAUUGUUCCUAAGAAAACUAAUAUCAUUUGCAAUAAGCAUUUUAACUUUAAUAUAUUGUUCCUCUAACUGUGUUUGGUGUAAUAUUUCCUUAACUGUUCUUUUAUGUUUUCAUACAAG